rnacentral:rRNA from 1 species
UACGUAGGUGGCAAGCGUUGUCCGGAAUUAUUGGGCGUAAAGCGUGCGCAGGCGGCUAUGCAAGACAGAUGUGAAAUCCCCGGGCUCAACCUGGGAACUGCAUUUGUGACUGCAUGGCUAGAGUGCGGCAGAGGGGGAUGGAAUUCCGCGUGUAGCAGUGAAAUGCGUAGAUAUGCGGAGGAACACCGAUGGCGAAGGCAAUCCCCUGGGCCUGCACUGACGCUCAUGCACGAAAGCGUGGGGAGCAAACAGG